rnacentral:rRNA from 1 species
GAUGAACGCUGGCGGCGUGCUUAACACAUGCCAGUCGAACGGAAAGGCUCCUGCUUGCAGGGGUACUCGAGUGGCGAACGGGUGAGUAACACGUGGGUGAUCUGCCCUGCACUUCGGGAUAAGCCUGGGAAACUGGGUCUAAUACCGGAUAGGACGAUGGUUUGGAUGCCAUUGUGGAAAGUUUUUCGGUGUGGGAUGAGCUCGCGGCCUAUCAGCUUGUUGGUGGGGUAAUGGCCUACCAAGGCGUCGACGGGUAGCCGGCCUGAGAGGGUGUACGGCCACAUUGGGACUGAGAUACGGACCAGACUCCUACGGGAGGCAGCAGUGGGGAAUAUUGCACAAUGGGCGCAAGCCUGAUGCAGCGACGCCGCGUGGGGGAUGACGGCCUUCGGGUUGUAAACUCCUUUCGCUAGGGACGAAGCGCAAGUGACGGUACCUGGAGAAGAAGCACCGGCUAACUACGUG